UACAGAGGGUGCAAGCGUUGUUCGGAAUUAUUGGGCGUAAAGGGCGCGUAGGCGGUGCGGUAAGUCUGUAGUGAAAUCUCUGGGCUCAACUCAGAGUCUGCUGCAGAAACUGCCGUGCUUGAGUGUGGGAGAGGUGAGUGGAAUUCCCGGUGUAGCGGUGAAAUGCGUAGAGAUCCGGAGGAACACCAGUGGCGAAGGCGACACGCUGGGCCGUACCUGACACUGAUGCGCGACAGCAUGGGGAGCAAACAGG
rnacentral:rRNA from 1 species